ensembl:lncRNA
UGUUCAGAAAUAUCUCAGCCGUUGUGUUUGAAUUCACACACGCACACACACACACACACACACACACACACACACACACACAUUGUCUUUCUCUUUUAGAAAGGCCUGACAGGCAGCAACAGUGAUUUGCCUUUUUUUUUUUUUUUUACAGGCAUAAAAAAUCGCCUCAAACAUCAAACGCUGCACCUGCACACCCUUGAUGCCAGAAACCAAUGCAUUAGUUGCCCCGCCAGACACUUCCAUUCUCACCCCGGUAGCGUGAGGGGGCACUUUGAAAGCUAUCUGACAGGCCACACUUGAAAAUGGGAUAUGGAGUGGACUGGAAAUAAUAAAAUAAAAAAAAGAACAGCAGCACUUUUGUGUCAUGCCUCCCUGAAGCCCACCAGACUCUUCACAGGGGACGUCUCACCCUGCGGGCACUGGGGUGUGGGCAUGGGCGGCAGGCACUGGGGUGUGGGCAUGGGCGGUGUGAUGCCCACUGGCAAAACAAAUCAUCUGAUUUGUGAGUGUACUGAAUCAUCUGGGCAAGAAUAAGGGAAUGCAUUUUGAAUUGAGCCAUUUCAGAUCCGAUUCAGAUCAAGAGACACAACACAGCGGGCGUGUUUCAGAACCUCACCUAGCCCCUCAUCGGCAUUUUCAAGAGGCUUACUCUGCUUUGUUUUUCUUUUAUCGUGGUUUACCAGAAUCAUAAAACAAUGAUGAUAAUGAAAUGAAAUUCAAACUAAUUCUGGCUCACACAACCUGCAGUUAAAUGGCCUGACCAAUUAGAGCACUCUCUCUGAUGGCCAGGCAGCUUGAUGCAUAUUUCAAAUGAGCGAGCUGCAUGAAUAAGCAAUGAGCUAUCGGUGCUUUUUAAGCAGCUUCAUGCUAGCUAGUACCAGACUGAGAGGGGGGGGGGGGGGGGGGUUCAGAACAAUUGCAGCGAACCCCACUCUGUCCCAACAAGAACAUCUUUCAUCCAUGGCUACAGAAUCCCUUGAAGCACAAAUGCACGGCUUCGCCCCCUCGUAACCUAGAAACGUAUUGCUAGUUCUGUUUCAGUGCAAAUAAUGAAACCGCAAUCAGUCACUGGGAGGGAGUGUGUCGACGGCAAAUUUACCCGGUGCUUUUAAGUGCUGAUUAAAAGACAGGCGAGAAAGCUUCUGCAAUAUUGCCUGUCUACUUGGUCCUUGAGAGCCAUGUUGAGCAUAUUUAAUUACUUUUAUUCGAAUGAUUUCUCAAACGCUUCCAUUUCAUCAUACACUGACCUACACUGACACACUCUUAAACACACACACUCACAGAAAUGCACACAUGCACUCAUACAGAAAU